GUGCUCACUUCAGCAGCACAUAUACUAAAAUUAGAAUGACACAGAGAAGAUUAGCAUGGCUCCUGCAGAAAGAUGACAUGCAAAUUCGUGAAGUGUUCCAUAUUUAU
rnacentral:snRNA from 1 species